rnacentral:lncRNA from 1 species
AAAGCUAAGGUGCCUUUGCCAAUCUUCUGUUUCCCUUUGACAAGCCUGCACUUUCUGAAGGGAAUCGUUCUAAAUGGGCUCAGGUCAUGCACGCCUGUUGUGUGCAAAUACAAUUUAAUGAUGCAACCUC